ensembl:lncRNA
CUUAUAGUUCCUGGGAUCAAUUAACUCAAGUUGUUUGGGAAGAUAAUCAGUAAUUUCAAAUGGCAGUGUGGGAAUGUCCAGACAUACAUGGGAACUGAUGCAAUUGCCACCCUCGGUGCAAACACUUCCAUGAUUUCUGUGCUCAGCAGGUGUAGAGUUUGGUAUUUGAGAAGAUAAAACAGUGGCUGCACUUAACUGCUUCACUUGGAAGUGAAGAUAGUGAUAGAUACCUACUGCUCAUUUGUUACAAGCAGAAAGGAAAGCAUUUAGACAUUAAUUUUUUGCUAGCUGCACAAAUUAUAUAAGUCAUAUAAAGCUGCAAAAAAUAGUUUGCAGGCUCAAUAAUGUCUUUGUGUUCCAGAAAAAAGAGGCAAACUGGUAUCAGCGUUAAGAGUGUUUUCUUUGUUCUCUCCCACCUUCAAACUAUUGGACUGUGUCUUUACAGGGCAUCGACUGACAGAUGUUCCUGGUUUGAAAAGGAAGAAUUAAAUGAGUGUGAAAAAACCUGGCUCUUGCUACUGAAAGACAUCAGUCAAGAUUCAGAGUGCACAAACUGCGACACAGUGCCCAGCUUUCCAGAGUUCUUGGAAAAGAAACAACAGGAAAAGACUCCAGAACACCAGGAAGUCUUUACAGUCGGAACAAAAGACUUUCAGUGGGUAUCAUUCCCAUCUUUUCACCAAGAAAAAUGUCUGAACCCCAAGGAUCUGAGCUCCCAGCAGCCAGCACAGAGCCAGAGCAAUGAAUUACAUAAAGGACAGGGCCAAGCAGAUAAACUGAAGAGUUUAUCAUCCACAGCUGAGAAAACCUGCAGGGGAACCAGUACAGAUCAAGCCAAAACUGCAUCUGGAGCAGACACAAAAGGUGUUUCAGAGCUGGAUGUGAGUCCCAAGUCAUGGAAACUCCCUGGGCACAGCAGCUCAGCACAGCCCUCGGCAUUAGUACAAAGCCCUGCAGAAGCUCCUGGCCCUCAGCAGCACCACACAGGGACUGUACAGAACAGCAGGGCAGACAGGAGAGAAAAGGGUGAGGAAAAGCCUCAAAUCCAAAUACACCAGGGCGAGCUUCCAGCAGGGGAGGCCACGGGGGUGCCUGCAGAGAAGCCUCGGCUCGGGAGCACUCCUGGGGCUGAGAGCCACGAGGAGAAGGAGGAAAACCAGAGUGAAGCAGCUUCAGCUCUUGACAGUUGUCCAAUGUGUCUGAUGCAGUUUAGUGGAAGACUCUCCCAGCUGGACAUCGAUGGGCACCUUGCCAGGUGCUUGUCUGAAAGUGCAGAUGAUGUCAUGUGGUAAAUCCAGAGGAGUGGAGAGCACAGGAACCAGGCCAAGGAUGAAGCUUUCUCAAAGGAAAAGGAAAAAUGUGUCAAGGAAGCACAUCCUUGUCUCUGACUUAAACCAGUAACUCAACAGAAGGAUAAGUGCCACCUGCCUAUUUGGUUUUGGGUUUUUUUCUUUUAAAGCCUCUCAAAUGCAUGUGAAGUAGUUCCAGUUCUGAAAACAGUGCUCUGGGAUAUCCCAGAGACCCCCAGAGAAAUGAGGCUUGGUACUCCUGAAGAAAUGCACUAUUGGAAAUCCCUCAAGCUUUGUCUGAUGCACCAGAGUUCUGAAUCUCUCAGGACAGAAGAAAGCAGCUGAGCAAAACAGAACUGUUAUUUGCUGUAAUCCAAAAAUUUACUGUUUUUUUUUUUCAAAACAGGUAAUCUAUGAAAAUAAACUCAGUUAAAAAGUAAUC